rnacentral:rRNA from 1 species
UGGGGAAUUUUGGACAAUGGGCGCAAGCCUGAUCCAGCAAUGCCGCGUGCAGGAUGAAGGCCUUCGGGUUGUAAACUGCUUUUGUACGGAACGAAACGGUCCCUUCUAAUACAAGGGGCUAAUGACGGUACCGGGUGAGGAAGCACCGGCUAACUCUGUGCCAGCAGCCGCGGUAAUACAGAGGGUGCGAGCGUUGUCCGGAAUCACUGGGCGUAAAGGGCGCGUAGGUGGCUUGGUAAGCGUGUGGUGAAAUCCUGGAGCUCAACUCCAGAACUGCCAUUGAUACUAUCUGUCUUGAAUAUUGUGGAGGUAAGCGGAAUAUGUCAUGUAGCGGUGAAAUGCUUAGAUAUGCGGAGGAACACCGAUGGCGAAGGCAAUCCCCUGGGCCUGCACUGACGCUCAUGCACGAAAGCGUGGGGAGCAAACAGG